GUGUGUAUAGCUCAGUGGUAGAGCACAUGCUUAGCAGGCACAGGGUGCUGGAUUCGAUCCCCAGUACCUCCA
rnacentral:tRNA from 1 species